UUUAGGAGACAUGUCAGGUUAGCCGGUAGUUUAGGAGACAUGUCAGGUUAGCCGGUAGUUUAGGAGACAUGUCAGGUUAGCCGGUAGAUUAGGAGACAUGUCAGGUUAGCCGGUCGUUUAGGAGACAUGUCAGGUUAGCCGGUCGUUUAGGAGACAUGUCAGGUUAGCCGGUCGUUUAGGAGACAUGUCAGGUUAGCCGGUCGUUUAGGAGACAUGUCAGGUUAGCUGGUCGUUUAGGAGACAUGUCAGGUUAGCCGGUCGUUUAGGAGACAUGUCAGGUUAGCUGGUCGUUUAGGAGACAGGUCAGGUUAUCUGGUCGUUUAGGAGACAGGUCAGGUUAGCUGAUAGUGUAGAUGACAGGAAAAACACUGAUCGGCUGAUGGAUGGAUCCAGGGAGGAACACUUCAUACCAGCAGUUACUCAAUUAAAAUCACUUCCGAUGACUUCAUCAAACACAACCUGAGGGCGUUGCAGUUGUUUCCUGCCCAUGCUGAGUUUCAUCAUCACUUUUACUGCUGGAAUUUCCUGAAAUCCUCCAUUAGACAGUGGAAAUA